rnacentral:rRNA from 2 species
UUUCAGCGACGGAUAUCUCGGCUCA